rnacentral:misc_RNA from 1 species
AACGCACCUUGCGCUCCCGGCAGAUCUAAUCUGGGGAGCAUGCCUGUUUGAGGGCCGCGAAUUGUUUCGAACGACAGCUUUCUUAUUUAGUUGAGAAAGCUGGCGGAUCGGUAUUGAGGGUCUUGCCAUCUUCCACGGUGGCUCCCUCGAAAUGCAUUAGCGCAUCCAUUCGAUAGGCAAGACGGACGAAAGCUCGUUAUUUCGCCCACGUCUUUCCCUGCCGGGUUUUGAUAAUAUCAGGACUUCGGAGAGGAGAGGCGCAGGGUCGAGGAGCUGGACGCGACGUUUUGCUGGUUGGAGUGCUUCUGAACCCCGCCCAUGCCUCGCUUCUUUGGAAGAGAGGAAGGGAUUUAAUUUCAAUUCAUCGGCCUCAGAUUGGUAGGACUACCCGCUGAACUUAA